rnacentral:rRNA from 1 species
UACGAAGGGGGCUAGCGUUGUUCGGAUUUACUGGGCGUAAAGCGCACGUAGGCGGAUCGUUAAGUCGGGGGUGAAAUCCUGGAGCUCAACUCCAGAACUGCCUUCGAUACUGGCGAUCUUGAGUCCGGAAGAGGUGAGUGGAGCUCCUAGUGUAGAGGUGGAAUUCGUAGAUAUUAGGAAGAACACCAGUGGCGAAGGCGGCUCACUGGUCCGGUACUGACGCUGAGGUGCGAAAGCGUGGGGAGCAAACAGG